UACGAAGGGUGCAAGCGUUACUCGGAAUUACUGGGCGUAAAGCGUGCGUAGGUGGUUUGUUAAGUCUGUUGUGAAAGCCCCGGGCUCAACCUGGGAAUGGCAAUGGAUACUGGCAGGCUAGAGUGCGGUAGAGGGUAGUGGAAUUCCCGGUGUAGCGGUGAAAUGCGUAGAUAUCUGGAGGAACACCGGUGGCGAAGGCGGCAUCCUGGACCGGCACUGACGCUGAGGAGCGAAAGCCAGGGGAGCAAACGGG
rnacentral:rRNA from 1 species